GAAUUUUCCGCAAUGGGCGAAAGCCUGACGACGCAACGCCGCGUGGAGGAUGAAGACUUUCGGGUCGUAAACUCCUUUCGACCGAGAUGAAUACCUGCCGACCUAAUACGUCGGCAGGCUGACAGUAUCGAGGGAAGAAGCCCCGGCUAACCCCGUGCCAGCAUCCGCGGUAAUACGGGGGGGGCAAGCGUUGUUCGGAAUUACUGGGCGUAAAGGGUUCGUAGGUGGCCAACUCAGUCAGACGUGAAAUCCCUCGGCUCAACCGGGGAACUGCGUCUGAUACUGGAUGGCUUGAGUGCAGGAGAGGAACGCGGAAUUCCAGGUGUAGCGGUGAAAUGCGUAGAUAUCUGGAGGAACACCGGUGGCGAAGGCGGCGUUCUGGACUGUAACUGACACUGAGGAACGAAAGCCAGGGGAGCAAACGGG
rnacentral:rRNA from 1 species